UCCCUUGGGAUGAGUCCAAGACUACAAU
rnacentral:piRNA from 1 species